rnacentral:misc_RNA from 1 species
UCGAGUUUUUUUGGUUAGCUCCGAAAACUCCCCACCCUUGUGUAUUUUCGCUGAAAAGCAGCUUCGGCGGGCCGUCAGACCUUAGCAAUAGGGUCCUGACAUCGGCUUUGUGCGGAUUUGCGUCCGCCGAAGAAACAACUCUUACAAUUUGAAGUCUGAUAAAAUAACAAAAAUAAAUCA